rnacentral:rRNA from 1 species
UCGGGAAUUUUGGGCAAUGGGCGAAAGCCUGACCCAGCAACGCCGCGUGAAGGAUGAAGUAUUUCGGUAUGUAAACUUCGAAAGAAUAGGAAGAAUAAAUGACGGUACUAUUUAUAAGGUCCGGCUAACUACGUGCCAGCAGCCGCGGUAAUACGUAGGGACCAAGCGUUGUUCGGAUUUACUGGGCGUAAAGGGCGCGUAGGCGGCAAUUCAAGUCAUCUGUGAAAUCUCCGGGCUUAACUCGGAACGGUCAGAUGAUACUGCUUUGCUAGAGUGCAGAAGGGGCAAUCGGAAUUCUUGGUGUAGCGGUGAAAUGCGUAGAUACCAAGAGGAACACCUGAGGCGAAGGCGGGUUGCUGGGCUGAUACUGACGCUGAGGCGCGAAAGCUAGGGUAGCAAACGGGAUUAGAUACCCCCGUAGUCCCUGAGCGGGCUGGCAAGGCGCAU